rnacentral:rRNA from 1 species
GACGAACGCUGGCGGCGUGCUUAACACAUGCAAGUCGAACGGAAAGGCCCUGCUCUUGUGGGGUGCUCGUGUGGCGAACGGGUGUGUAACACGUGUGUAACCUCCCCUUGUCUGUGUGAUAUCUUCAGGAAACUGGGGCUAAUACCGGAUAGGAUCUCCUGCUGCAUGGUGGGGGUUGGAGAGUGUCGGCGGUAGUGGAUGGACUCGCGGCUUAUAGGCUUGUUGGUGGGGUAGUGGCGUACCAAGGUUUUGACGGGUAGCCGGCCUGGGAGGGGUACCGGCCACAUGGGGACUGAGAUAGGCCGCAGACUGCUACGGGAGGCAGCAGUGGGGAAUAUGGCACAAUGGGGGGAAGCCUGAUGCGGCAACGCCGGGUGCGGGAUGACGGCCUUCGGGUGGAAAACCGCUUUGGCCUGUAACGAGGCGUGAGUGACGGUAAUGGGUAAAGAAGCACCGGCUAACUACGUG